rnacentral:rRNA from 1 species
AACGAACGCUGGCGGCGCGCCUAAUACAUGCAAGUCGAGCGAGAAGACGUAGCAAUACGUUUGUAAAGCGGCGAACGGGUGAGGAAUACAUGGGUAACCUACCCUCGAGUGGGGAAUAACUAGCCGAAAGGUUAGCUAAUACCGCGUACGCUCCUUGGACUUCGGUUCAGGGAGGAAAGCGAUACCGUGGGUAUCGCGCUCUUGGAUGGGCUCAUGUCCUAUCAGCUUGUUGGUGAGGUAACGGCUCACCAAGGCUUCGACGGGUAGCUGGUCUGAGAGGACGAUCAGCCACACUGGCACUGCGACACGGGCCAGACUCCUACGGGAGGCAGCAGUAAGGAAUAUUGCGCAAUGGGCAAAGCCUGACGCAGCGACGCCGCGUGGGGGAU